GUAGGAGUCCUUAGAUAAGUUGUGGACUGAUUCAAAGCUUAUUUGAAUUAAGAGUCCUAUACUUAUUAGGUCAUAAGAAUUAUCUGUAAAUAGAGAGGGUCUCUACCUAUGGAUGCAUAGAAAUCAAUGUGAGAAAAAAGAGAAAAAGAGAGAGAGAGGCAUGAGAGCUAGUGGGCACCUCUUCCCCCUUGGCAUGUCCUCCUCCUUGCCGCCCAUACUCUCCAAGCCGUGGGCCC
rnacentral:lncRNA from 1 species